UGCCCAGCAACUCCUAUCCCUACCUCCUCGCGGUACCGGCCGGAAACUAUGAGCAACCUUAGGGAAGAUCGGGUAACCAAUCCCGGUGGGAACUUUGCUCAUAGGCUGACUGGGAAAG
rnacentral:ribozyme from 1 species